rnacentral:rRNA from 1 species
UACAGAGGUCUCAAGCGUUGUUCGGAUUCAUUGGGCGUAAAGGGUGUGUAGGUGGCGCGCUAAGUCGGGUGUGAAAUUUCGGAGCUUAACUCCGAAACUGCAUUCGAUACUGGCGUGCUUGAGGACUGGAGAGGAGACUGGAAUUCAUGGUGUAGCAGUGAAAUGCGUAGAUAUCGAGAGGAACACCAGUGGCGAAGGCGAGUCCCUGGACAACUCCUGACACUGAGGCACGAAAGCUAGGGGAGCAAACAGG